ensembl:misc_RNA Y_RNA Y RNA
GGCUGGUCCAAGGACAGUGGUGCUUACAACCAACUUAUCACAACCAAUUACAGAUUUCUUUCUUCCUUCUUCACUCCCACUGCUUCACUUGACUAGCCUAAA